AGGUAGUUAGCUUAGUGGUAAAGCUUCUGCUUUACAAGCAAAAGAUCAUUGGUUCAAUUCCAAUACUGCCUA
rnacentral:tRNA from 1 species